rnacentral:rRNA from 1 species
AUUGAACGCUGGCGGCAUGCUUUACGCAUGCAAGUCGAACGGUAACAGGUUAAGCUGACGAGUGGCGAACGGGUGAGUAAUGCAUCGGAACGUGCCCGAUCGUGGGGGAUAACGCAGCGAAAGCUGCGCUAAUACCGCAUACGAUCUGAGGAUGAAAGCGGGGGACCGUAAGGCCUCGCGCGAUCGGAGCGGCCGAUGUCAGAUUAGGUAGUUGGUGGGGUAAAGGCCCACCAAGCCGACGAUCUGUAGCUGGUCUGAGAGGACGACCAGCCACGCUGGGACUGAGACACGGCCCAGACUCCUACGGGAGGCAGCAGUGGGGAAUUUUGGACAAUGGGCGAAAGCCUGAUCCAGCAAUGCCGCGUGCAGGAAGAAGGCCCUCGGGUUGUAAACUGCUUUUGUACGGAGCGAAAAGGUCCUUUCUAAUACAGGGGGCUCAUGACGGUACCGUAAGAAUAAGCACCGGCUAACUACGUGCCAGCCGCCGCGGUAA